rnacentral:rRNA from 1 species
GACGAACCGUGCGAACGUUAUUCGGAAUCACUGGGCUUAAAGGGAGCGUAGGCGGGCUAUCAAGUCUGGGGUGAAAUGCCGCGGCUCAACCGUGGAACUGCCUCAGAUACUGACGGCCUCGAGGGAGAUAGGGGCAUGCGGAACUGUAGGUGGAGCGGUGAAAUGCGUUGAUAUCGUAAGGAACACCCGUGGCGAAAGCGGCUCACUGGGUCUUCUCUGACGCUGAUGCACGAAAGCUAGGGGAGCAAACGGG